rnacentral:rRNA from 1 species
UACGUAGGGUGCAAGCGUUAUCCGGAAUUAUUGGGCGUAAAGAGCUCGUAGGCGGUUUGUCGCGUCUGCUGUGAAAACCUAAGGCUCAACCUUGGGCUUGCAGUGGGUACGGGCAGACUAGAGUGCGGUAGGGGUGACUGGAAUUCCUGGUGUAGCGGUGGAAUGCGCAGAUAUCAGGAGGAACACCGAUGGCGAAGGCAGGUCACUGGGCCGCAACUGACGCUGAGGAGCGAAAGCAUGGGGAGCGAACAGG